rnacentral:lncRNA from 10 species
CUUACUGGCCAAAUGAUGCAACAAGAAAAUUCAGGAAAGUUAAUUUAAGUUUCAACAUACAGAUUUUUUUGUCCCUUGGAAGACACAGUUUUAAGUUUUAGUUGAGUUUUGUUUUCAUUUUUAUUUGGGUACAGGUCUUGGGAUAGUUCGGAUUUGUGUUCAGAAAAUUUUUACUCCUCCACACUUUGGAGGAAUACCCUUCCCUGACUUAGGGAUGUUGGACUUGGCCAUGUGACUAUUGGCCAGUAAGAUGUUAGCAAGCAUGAUGCCAUCAAGGUCACUGUGGAUUUGCACAGUGGGCCUGGCUCUCCUGCACUUCCAACAUUGCCUUGAGAUGCAUACACAUGCCUGCGUCCAAGGAAGAUGGAAGACAC